CCUACGGGAGGCAGCAGUGGGGAAUAUUGCACAAUGGAGGAAACCCUGAUGCAGCAACGCCGCGUGAGUGAAGAAGUAAUUCGUUAUGUAAAGCUCUAUCAGCAGGGAAGAAAAUGACGGUACCUGAGUAAGAAGCAUCGGCUAACUACGUGCCAGCAGCCGCGGUAAUACGUAGGGGGCAAGCGUUAUCCGGAUUUACUGGGUGGAAAGGGAGCGUAGACGGCAGUGCAAGUCUGGAGUGAAAGGCGGGGGCUCAACCCCCGGACUGCUCUGGAAACUGUACGGCUGGAGUGCAGGAGAGGUAAGUGGAAUUCCUAGUGUAGCGGUGAAAUGCGUAGAUAUUAGGAGGAACACCAGUGGCGAAGGCGGCUUACUGGACUGUAACUGACGUUGAGGCUCGAAAGCGUGGGGAGCAAACAGGAUUAGAUACCCCAGUAGUC
rnacentral:rRNA from 1 species